UAAAAAUAUGGAAUUCACAGAGGCGGACCCAGCUUCUAAAUGGUUUAAUAGGUUGUCAAUUCUCAGAGCUAGCCAGCUAUUGUUUUUUUUCAGGCACAGCGGAAGCUCUUAGCAGCUUCUCUCAGGAAAAUAAUUUCCGUGGGUGGUUUUUUCCUCCUUACUAAAUAUCAAUUAAUGUGAAACCAGCACACUUACACUGCUUUCAUAAUAGAUGCUCAUUUCCCAAAAAUUAUGGGUUUUUUCUGUUACAGGAAAAUGUAAGAAAUGGAGGUAAACUUAAAUCCCACACAGGAAGAGGUUUAUACAAAAAGAAAUAGAAAAACAACUCUUUCUGACUUUGUUGUAACAUGUUUCUAUCGUAAUUCACAAUUCGAAAUAACAAGUAGGAUAGUAUUUUAGCUCUCAUAACAUAAUCAUGGGAGGCAAAUGUUGACAAUAAACAGAAAAAAUCAGUGAUCUGUGAUUGCAUGUUUUGUUAGUAUUUCUGGGACACUAGGACAAAUACUCCAUGAGAUGAAGAGGAUUUUAACAAUAAAACCUUUAAGUCUCUGGAGGUGUUUAGCAUGAGGAUUUCUUUGGUCUGAAUACAAGUUAUUUUUUAAAACCAAAGAUGUAUUUUGAAUUUUAUAUUGCAAAAUACUUACUUGUAGUCAGUAUAUAUUUUUCACACACGAAGUUACAGCAGUCAAAAUUUCUUUUUUUGUUUUACCAUAUCAGUUGUGUUUCUGCUCAAGCCCUGGGCUGAACUCCUAUAAACUUGGAUGAAAAAUUUGGAUACAAACCAAGACAUAGAAGUUAGUGGCAUUGAUGAAUUGUUUCUUCCUCUUGCUGUUCUGUAGGCAGAAAUUCUCACUCAUAAAUCCUGAAUACCACUGCAGCACUGACAAUGAAAUGCUUUUCUCACAUUUGGGAGAAAUGGAAAGAGUCUAGGAUUGAGUAAAGUGACUCAUUCUGCAAAGAGUAGCCAGGAAGCCAGGAAGUGAUGGGAAACAAGACCCCUAAUUUACAUUAGAAUCCUGAUGUCUUUAAUCUUUUCAAGAACCACUAGUAUUCUUCAGGUGCAGAUGAUAAGGCUCAUGUGCCAGAAAUGCAUAGAUGAUACUAAUUUCUACCAUCUUAAUUUUGUCAAUACUUCAGUGGCUGAGGCAUGCACUUAAAAAGAUUUUCUUGGUGAAGAGUGAUAGGGAUGGAGUACUGAAAAUUCUGAAGUCACAGCACAGUCUUCUUUGUUUGAAGGCACAUAUCUACAGAGCAGUUCAUAUUUUAAGAGAGUUUAUGGGUGUCUUCCUGAUCCAAACUCUCACAGAGACAGAAUUGUCUGUGUGGUGUUUUGGAGUGAGCAUGCUCCUUUGUAGGUUGCUCUCUGUUGAUUGACAAUGGAUACAUUUACUACUGUAAAUUUUUUAACCUAACUGUUGGAUAAGGACUGUGGUGUGAGCCUUUGGCUCUUUGUGUUCUGCUGCUUUUCAGGGGUUCCUGACUUGUAUUCUGGUCCUGAAGUGAGGCCUCUAGGAGUGAGCUCUGUUUUUUUUCUGAAGGCACAUUACAACAGUAGCUGUUUCUGUCUGUCUUCCCAUAGAAUUCCAAAAUAAACUCUCACUCCUUCUUCAAAUUAGUACCUGAUUUUGCAAUGACAGCUUCCAGUGAUAAUUUUUUUCUACCUUUGUACCCUUGACUACCCUGGAAGUUCCAGCUGACUGGAAAAGGGGAAACAUAACUGUCAUCUUUAAAAAGGGAAAUAUGGAAAUCCAAGGAGCUACUGGCCGAUCAGCCUCACCUCACUGCCUUGAAAAAUCAGUACCUUGAUCAUCCUAGAAGCCAUGCAAAGGCACAUGGAAAAUAUGGAGGUGAUUGGUGACAGCCCACAUGACUUCGCUGUGGACAAACAGUGUCUGACAAACUAUGUGGCCUUUUACGGUGGGGUUACAGCAUAGGUAUGAGGGAAGAGUGACUACUGUUAUCUUCCUGGGUUUGUGCAAAGCAUAUGGGUGUCCUGUACAACAUCCUCGUCUCUGAGCUGCAGGUACAUGGAUUUGACAGAUAGAUCACUGGGUGGAUGAGGAAUUGGCUGAAUUGUCACACUCAGAGUUGUGGUCAAUGGUUUGAUGUCUAAGUGAAGACCAGUGAUGAGUCGUGUUGCUUGGGGGCCAGUGCUGGGACCAGCACUGUUUAACAUCUUUGUCAGUGGAUCAAGUGUACCUCUCAGCAAGCUGGCCAACAGCAUCCAUCUGUAUAGAGCCAUCAACAUACUGGAAGGAAAGGAUGCCCUCUCUAGGGACUGUUACAGCUUGAGAGAGCUCCCAACACAAGAAGGGCAUUGACCUGUUGGAGAGUCCAGAGGAGAGGCAUGAAGAUGAUCACAGGGGUGGAGCAUGUCUCCUAUGGUAACAGGCUGAGAGAGUUGGGCUUGCUCAGCCUGUGCAAGGGAAGGCUCCAGAAGACCUUACAGCACCUUUCUGUACCUAACAGCAUCCUACAAGAGAGCUGGAGAGAGAUUUUUCACAAAGUUUUGCAGAGAUAGGACAAAGGGGAGUGGUCUUAAGCUGAACAAAGGUUUCUGAUCUGCACAACAAUCUGAGAGAGGAGGAUUUGUACAUGUAUUCUGGUGCUUACGAACUUAGAAGAAAUCUUUCAAGAUUGGAAGUUUUACAAAGAUCUUAAAGGCCAACAUUACUGGUACCUUCAAAGAGAAAAGCAUUAAUAAAUCCUUAGAUAUAUAGGUAGGUAUUAGCAUGAAAGAUUUUGUCAAUUCGACUAUGAGAGGGUAUGUAGUUUUCACUACCGUGGAAAGCAGAAUUGCCCAGAAAUUUCUGCUGGUUGCUUGGUUCUCUCAGUGUUUAAACACAACUGAAACACUAAAACAGAAGGUAUUUAUACAAAACGUAACAACUUUUAGUACAGGAUAUGAAGAA